AUAGAGAACAAACAUGAGAUCUGCUGAGUGUUUACCAAAAACUUGAUAUCAGAAAUGCCAGCAUAGAAAAAUCAUGGGUUUCCUGAGAGCCUUUUACACGAUGGAUUAGAGAUUGUGAAUCACUUUGGACCCACAUGUGCUUUCAUUGCUGGGGUUCAGCAUGCUUUAGUGCUUCAAGUAAUGCCAUCACCGCAACCAUUGAAGAGCUGUGAGCCUUACAUGAGGAGCAUCCAACAGCAGCGGUAUCCAUGAGAGAAGUAAAAAAUAAAGCCCUGCAAUUAAGCAUCAUUUCACAGAAAAGCAGUAGUGUUUUUCCUUUUUUUGUGUCCCUAAUAUUUAAAUGAUGUUUG
rnacentral:lncRNA from 1 species